UAAAUUAAAGCGUGAUUCGGCAAUUGAUGAAUAUACACAGAAACGAAAAAGGGGCGUGUUUGGGCGAUUAGGUCUUCUUCUUCCAGACACACUACCACUUCACACCGAUUUUCAACAAUUCAAUCCAACAAUGACAGCUUUUCAACUCAUGGCGGCAUACACGGAUGGAAUAUUGCAUUCCCAGGCCCUGUUGA